AAGCACGGGCAAAGAUCAUUCUGGACACUCGCUUUUUAAACACUUUGGUGUAUUAUGUUAACUUCAGGCACACAGGAUUUUUAGAGUCCUUUCAUAAUGUAAUUUUGAUGUAUGCUCCAAAGCGCCAUGCCUAUCCAUACUCAGUAUACCAAGCUAGAAACCAGCUUGCUGCCUUGGACUUUAACCACCACAGAGGCCGG